GGGGAGAAAAGAAGACCCUGGUAACUUCCAGUGAUGUCAACACUAGGAAAGGUCACAGAGCAGAUAAUUCAACAGUUGGUAUGUGAACACUUAGUAAAGGACUCUGUAAUGACUAAGACCCAGCAUAGGUUUCUCAAAAACAAGUCACACCAGACAAAUCUCAUCUCUUUUUCUGACAGAGUUACAAGCUUGACGGAUCAGGGGAAUACUGUGGACAUAGUGCCUCUUGAUUUCAGUAAGGCUUUUGACAAAGUCCUCCAUGAUAUUCUUGCAGAGAAAAUAUUCUCUUGCAGAGAAGCUGGUAACAUGUGGGCUGGAUGAGGCAACAGUUAGGCAGCUUUGUAGUUGGUUGACUGACGAAAUCCAGAGUGCUCACUAAUAAUUCUUCAUCAUCCUGGAAAAAAGUGACAAGUGGGGUGCUGCAGGGUUCAGUCCUGGGCCCAUUGUUGUUCAAUGUCUUUAUAAAUUAUUUGGAUGCAGGAACUGAGGGGAUGUGCAGGUGACACCAAACUGGGAGAAGAAGAAGAAGAGUUUGGAUUUGAUAUCCCACUUUAUCAUUACCCGAAAGAGUCUCAAAGCGGUUAACAUUCUCCUUUCCCUUCCUCCCCCACAACAAACACUCCGUGAGGUGAGUGGAGCUGAGACACUUCAAAGAAGUGUGACUAGCCCAAGGUCACCCAGCAGCUGCAUGUGGAGGAGUGGAGAUGCAAACCCGGUUCACCAGAUUACGAGUCUACCGCUCUUAACCACUACACCACACUGGCUCUGGGAGGGAUAGCUAACGUUGCAGAAGACAGAAUCAGGAUUCAAAAUGACCUUAGCAGAUUGGAGAAUUGGACCAAGGCUAACAAAAUGAAUUUCAAUAGAGACAAACGUAAGGUUCCACACUUAGGCAGGAAGAACCAGCUGCACAGAUCUAAGAUGGGGAACACCUGGCUUGCCUGUAGUACAUGCGAAAAGGAUCUAGGGGUCUUAGUGGACCACAAGCUUAACAUGAGUCAACAGUGAGAUGCAGGAGCAAAAAAGCCAUUGCUAUUCUGCGUUAACAGAAGUAUAGAGUCCUGAUCAAGUCAUAAUAUCACUCUAUUCUGCCUUGGUCAAACAACACCUGGAAUACUGUGUCCAGUUCCGGGGCCCCCAUAAUUUAAGAAGGGUAUUUACAAGCCUUAUGAGGAGUGGUUGAAAGACCUGGGUAUGUUUAUGCUUCAAGUUACAAGAAAGGAGAUUCCGAGUAAACAUCAGGAAGAACUUUGUGAUGGUAAGAGCUGUUUCACAGUGGAACGGGCUUCCUCAGAGGGUGGUGCCCUAUUCUUCCUUGGAGGUUUUAAAGCAGAGGUUGGAUGGCCAUCUGUCAUGGAUGUUUUAGUUAAGAUUUCUGCAUUGCAUGGGGUUGGACUAGAUGACCCUUGGGGUCCCUUCCAACUCUACGAUUCUGUGUUUAGGAAAAUAUCUUAAAAAUAUUUGCUGCUUCCCUAAGCAUACAUACUAAGAAACAAGUAGUAAAUGAUUUUGACUCAAAUGGCAUGGAUUUAUAAGAAAAAUGGUUAAAGAUAUGUCUGAAAGAUGGGUUAAAACACAAGACCAGUGAAUGCCAACAUUUUGUGGAAGAAUUUAAAGACUGGCUGUAAAGAGAUCAAGCUGUGAACACAUUACUAACAAACUGUUUUUAAAGUUACAAAUUAUUGGCUUGUCUACAAAGUCCACAUUGAAAGAAUUUGAUGUAUAGGCAUUUAGGCAACCUUCAAGAUCUCAUGACACAUAAUUAGUGCCACAUUUUCUCUGUGAGCAUCCUAGCAGCACCUCACAUGCAGAGGCUAUGGGGUCACUCAUUCUAGAUUUUCUCUGAGCACCAGCAGCCUCCCUUCCUGUCAUUCUCCUGCCUUUUAUGGGAUUCUCCUCCAGCAAAGUCAUCCACAGUUAGUUACCCUUCACAAUGUUAUUUGUGACUUUAUAAUUUCCUCUUGGAAUCUCCAAAUAAAUUGUUCUUAUUCCCUUCAGACAGGGGUGGGAGGAAGGUAGAUGUGGGAGAUACGCAAAGGCUUCUGACUCCCAUUUGUUUAACUAUAGCAGCAAAGACUUAAGUUCUAACUCUGUGGCUUUUGAUCUUGGCUCUGGUUGGUAGAUCUUGGUAAUCAUAACAAUAAUUUAUUACUUAAUACCCUGCACAUCUGACUGGGUUGCUCCAGCCACUGUCCAACCCAGUGUAGAAAGACAAGCUACAAUUCCUGCUACCUUCUGCAAUUCUCAGGCAUGGAAAAUAGGCAAGCAGUCUUCGCUGAGGGAGGUAGUGAGUAUUAAUUUGACCAUGUUAAAGAGGUACAGUAGAGAUAAAAUGGCAUUUACUUCCUGAUUUACACCACAGUUCACUGCAGAGCUGGCCCAGAAUUGAGAAGAACCUUUACAGCAGAGUUGGUGAAGACCCUCCAGGUUUCCAUCCCUGUGCUUGUCUUAUGUUGACCACUGUUUUUAUCCUGCCCUCCAAAGGCUAGAUGGUGUUAUUAGUCCCUUCCAACGUUAUGAUUCUAACUAGAGUCAACAGGGUCAUGUUGGGCUACCAAAGGAUGUAUUCUACUGCUAGGCUACAGUCAUUACGGUCACCAAACCUCAUAGUCCUUCCAUCUUGUAUAUUCUGCAACUCACUUAUGUUCAGUGGAGAAAACUUCUCCCUUCUUCCUUUUCCUCAUGGGGUAGUUGCUUAACUAUCUCUGUAUAACCCAGAAAUCACAAAGGAAUGUUCCCAUGUAUUAGAUAGAGCUUUUCAUCUGCUUUAGGUAAAGUCUGAAUACUGAGUCUGAAGCAAAGAGGACACUGCACAUGGCAAAUGUCCAGUUGUACAGAAGAGUGCUUCACCCACAUAGAAGAGAAGUGGAUAGUAAGGAGAGGGAAGAUGCUUAAAAUAAGAGGUCUUCCAUCAACAAAAAGAGCACUCAAGCAGUUCAAACAAGGUUCGUAACACAGGGAGCUUUCAGAUGACCCGACCGAUUUGUUUGAAAGGAGGUUGGACAAUGUUAGAUAUUUAUUAAGCAUCCAUUCCGAUUUGCUUAUGGGACGGUUAGACAAUAUUGCAUCAUAUGUUUCCCUACACUUUUGAGUGUAUUUCCCCAUCAUUCCCUCAUUGGACUUGUGGAUUGGUUCAGCAAAACCUCCAAAUCACCAGUAAGUACACAACUAGAAUUUGUCAGGAUGUGAUUGGAUUUCGCCCAAAAUUGUCAACAGCCUGGAAGUGCUCUUAAGUGUUAGGAAGGAAGUUGAUGUUUCAACAGAAAACAAUGGAUUCUGCUGCU